rnacentral:lncRNA from 1 species
GGAUACUUUGGAUUUUCCAUAUACUUUUUUGUUACUUAUUUUUAAUUUAAUUCCAUUAUGAUCAGAAAAUGUACUUUGUGUGAUUUCAAUUGUUUUAGGUUUGUAAGUUUGUUUUACGACCCAGUAUAUGAUCUAUCUUGGUGAACAUUUGGUGUGCACUUGAAAAGAAUAUGCAGUCUGCUGUUGGUGAACAUAUUAUAGAAUAAUAUCAAUUAUGUCCAGUUGAUUGGUAGUGUUAAUUUUUCUAUGUUCUUGCUGAUCUUCCUUCCUUCCUUCCUUCCUUUCUUCCUUCCUUCCUUCCUUCCUUCCUUCCUUCCUUCCUUCCUUCCUUCCUUCCCUCCCUCCCUCCCUCCCUGCCUCCCUCCCUCCUUUCUUUCUUUCUCUCUCUCUCUCUCUCUCUUUCUCUCUUUCUCUCUUUCUUUCUUUCUUUCUUUCAUGGAAUCCCACUUUGUCACCAGUCUCUUGGAGUGUACAGUGGCGCGAUCUCUGCUCAUUGCAAUCUCCGCCUCCAGGUUCAAGCAGUUCUCCUGCCUCAGCCCCCGAGUAACUGGGACUACAGAAAGGCAAACUGCAAAAGACAAAAAAAAAGAAGGACCUCCAGAGUGGCAGAAUAACUCCUCGCCUGUCAGGUUUUAUCCCACCCAGGAUGUACCUCAUAAAAGGCACCUGGGUUUUUUCUGGAUGUGGGAACCUGUGGUAGAAGGGAGCCACCCGUCUCACCAGAAAACAGGUCUGUCACACACUGCCCUGUCCGUUUGGAAUUUAGGGCCUUCUAGUCCCAGCAGCAACAAUCCAGAGAAUCUUAUUUUGAUCUUGAUCCAAGUUUAG